UACAGAGGGGGCAAGCGUUGUUCGGAAUUACUGGGCGUAAAGGGCGCGUAGGUGGCCUUCUAAGUUGAACGUGAAAUCCCUGGGCUCAACCCAGGAACUGCGUCCAAGACUGGGAGGCUUGAAUCCGGGAGAGGGAUGCGGAAUUCCAGGUGUAGCGGUGAAAUGCGCAGAUAUCGGGAAGAACACCCGUGGCGAAGGCGGCUCUCUGGGACGGUACUGACGCUGAGACGCGAAAGCGUGGGGAGCGAACAGG
rnacentral:rRNA from 1 species